CAGACUGUUUCCAUUCUAGAGCAACGACUGUCUUUGACCGAAGAUAAGCUGAAAGACUGCCUUGAGAAUCAGCAAAAGCUUUUCAGUGUCAUCCAACAGAAGAGCUGAGCAGGAGGUGUGCAAGCUCAGGCUGGUCCCUGAAGACGUACUCACACACUCAGGACGUUGCAGAGGCCCUCCCUCCACACUCACUGUAGAUUCUUCAGGGGUGAGCAACAGAACAAAGGUUCAAGUCAUUUGUAAGGACUGACUUAAACACACAAAUCACUAUCAAGGAUCAAGUUAAGCUCCUCCCAGGUACAAUUGCAGUAAUAAAGUUAUGAACAUUUAAAUCACCCCAUUCCCCCUCCCCCAUGUUGUUUGAAAUGUCAGCUUCUAUUUAAUGUGCCAAUCCUCACCAGGAAAGUAAGCAGACCUCUAGAUCUCAUUGUUAAAUCAUUUCCAAGUGACCAUGUUCAGGCAAUUCCUGAAGGUAAUUAGUGUUAUUUCUUAGGUGAGCACACCCUUGAGGGGAAAGCAUUCGCUUGCUUUCAAAUAGCAUCUGAGAUGUAGAAAACCUGUCAUUGAGUUGGCUCAUAGUUCUUUCAGGUCAAAAAAAAAAAACAAUCUGCCUCGAAAAGAUGCUCCCUCAGAAUUUCCACAGCAAGAAUCAGCUUAUUUUGAUUAGCAAGAGUGCUUACAUGACAGAGCAGGCGUGUUCCUCGUCUGAUGGGAACUGCAUGAGGCAUUUGUGUCUCUCCUGUUACAGGUGAACGCACUGAGCGGUCUGGGUCAUACUGAACCUGUGACCACAGUCCAUAGAGAUUAUGUUUGUGUGGUGUCAGUGUGCUAAAAAGCCAAAAUGAUAAAAAAUAUGUGGAUAUACACGAAUCGCAUACUGUUGCUUAGGGUGAUCCUGGUGGCUGAAAUAGCACAUUUUUAUUUAGAAAAAGAUUGCAACAUCUAUUUUAUUUUAAUGAAUUGUGAUUUGAAAUGAAAACGAGUCAGGCAUUCUGAAAGAUCUUGGUUACAAGUUGAGAAUGUUUCUCUAUCUCAAACAAAAUGGGAAUCAAAGUAAAAAAGAGCAAAUUCAGGGGUUGGGGAUUUAGCUCAGCGGCAGAGCACUUGCCUAGCGAGCGCAAGGCCCUGGGUUCAGUCCCCAGCUCUGAAAAAAAGAAAAAAAAAAGAAAAAAAAAAAAAAAAGAGC
rnacentral:lncRNA from 1 species